UACGGAGGGUGCAAGCGUUAUCCGGAUUCACUGGGUUUAAAGGGUGCGUAGGUGGGCAGGUAAGUCAGUGGUGAAAUCUCCGGGCUUAACUCGGAAACUGCCAUUGAUACUAUGUGUCUUGAAUAUCGUUGAGGUUUGCGGAAUAUGUCAUGUAGCGGUGAAAUGCUUAGAUAUGACAUAGAACACCAAUUGCGCAGGCAGCUUACUACACAGUAAUUGUCACUGAGGCACGAAAGCGUGGGGAUCAAACAGG
rnacentral:rRNA from 1 species